CACCGGCGGCUCGAGUGGUGGCCACUUUUAUUGGGUCUAAAGCGUCCGUAGCCGGCUUGGCAAGUCCCCUGGGAAAUCUGGCGGCUUAACCGUCAGGCGUCCAGAGGAUACUGCCAGGCUUGGGACCGGGAGAGGUGAGAGGUACCUCAGGGGUAGGGGUGAAAUCUUGUGAUCCCUGAGGGACCACCAGUGGCGAAGGCAUCUCACUAGAACGGGUCCGACGGUCAGGGACGAAAGCUGGGGGCACGAACCGG
rnacentral:rRNA from 1 species